ensembl:snRNA U1 U1 spliceosomal RNA
AUACUUACCUGGCAGGGGAGAUACCAUGAUCACGAAGGUGGUUUUCCCAGGGCGAGGCUUACCCAUUGCACUCCCACUGAUUUCUGAUGCCAUUUUGGUCCUAUACAUCUCUGUUCUGUUGUGUUGCUUCAUUUAUUCCUCAAGAACCAUGUUACAUUAAUUAUUG